UGAGGCACAGAAAGCCCAAGCUCUUGCACAAGGAUCAGAAGGGGGUAUAACCAGAAUUUGUUUCUCAGCAUCCUGACCAACAAUUAUUUUACCUACUAAACAGGGAAGCCUUUCAAAUAUAAUCCAGGGUAUCCGCUUCAUUUUACAACUAAAGAAAUGAAGGCUGGGUAAGGAUAAAGGACUCACAAAGAUCGUGUGUUUAGUUUCUGCUGGUCUAGACAUCUGGGUUCCAAAAGAAGAAUGCAUCUCCCAGGAGACAUGACAAUGAUUCCAUUCAACAGGAAGUUGAGACUGCCACCUGAACACUUUGGGCUCCUCAUGCCUCUGAAUCAACGGGCAAAGAAGAGAGUUAUAGAUCCUAACCACCCAGGAGAAAUUCGGUGGCCACUACACAAACAGACUUUUCUGACUCUGCGGCCAGGUGUUUGUAUUUAACUCCACGGUGAGGAGACUCAUCUUCUGACGGACCUAACCUAUACCAUCAAGCUCCAGCACCACAAGCAAAGACAAAAACCUUGCGGAAACUAUUUAACUAACUCCCACAAUUGCAUAAGGAUCUAAAUGAAAAUAUUUCUGCAGUGAACCAGUUCUAUUGUUUUAAAUAUCACCCUUAUUAAAGAGAGCUUUGACACUUUU
rnacentral:lncRNA from 1 species